rnacentral:rRNA from 1 species
AUAGCGUAUAUUAAAGUUGUUGCAGUUAAAAAGCUCGUAGUUGAACCUUGGGCCUGGCUGACCGGUCUGCCUCACCGCAUGCACUGGUUUGGCCGGGCCUUUCCUUCUGGCUAGCCGCAUGCCCUUUACUGGGUGUGUUGGGGAACCAGGACUUUUACUUUGAAAAAAUUAGAGUGUUCAAAGCAGGCAUAUGCUCGGAUACAUUAGCAUGGAAUAAUAGAAUAGGACGUGUGGUUCUAUUUUGUUGGUUUCUAGGACCACCGUAAUGAUUAAUAGGGAUAGUCGGGGGCAUCAGUAUUCAAUCGUCAGAGGUGAAAUUCUUGGAUUGAUUGAAGACUAACUACUG